AGGAACCAGGACUGGCCACGACACAACACCCCGCCCCCCUCACCACGUGGGAAGCGGCUACCCGCUUCUCUCUACCCAGUUUCCACUUCAAACUUACUGGAGAAGAAACUUAACAGAACUAGCGUGAACUCAAAACUGGAUUACGAAAAAGCAUUUAAAAAAGCAAACAAACUAAAACGUUCUGAACAGCUUCAAAACUAUGGAUACUAACGUACUUUAUAUCUUUCCAAAUGCAAAGAGACCCACAGUUCAAGAACCCGUUAAGUUUGAGCAAACGAGGACAGAGGAGGCCCCAUAUCUAGCCUGAUGAUCAUCUCUGUGUUUCGUGAAAGAAGGCGUGUGCUUCGUAAAAGAAAUUGUGGACUUCGUCAAAGGAAGUGCGUACUACGUCAAAGAAAGUGUGCACUUCUUACAAGAAAGUGCGUACUACGUCAAAGAAAGUGUGCACCUCGUACAAGAAAGUGCGUACUACGUCAAAUAAAGUGUGCACUUCGUACAAGACAGUGUGGGCUACGUCAGAGAAAGUGCGAACUUCUCCAAAGAAAGUGUGUGGUUCUUACAAAAAAUUGUGUAAUACGUAUAAGAAAUAGUUCACGACGCAAAAGAAUCUGUCUGUGACGUCAAACUACGUUUAACUUCAUAAAGGGAAUUACUUCAGUACAAUACUCCAAACCCCUUUUCUCAACCUAAAAAAAAAACGAAAAGAAAAGAAUAAAGAAGACAAAAAACCCAGUGUUGGCGACGUCAAAGAAAUUGAUCAAUCCAUCACAGAGCUUGUUAACUACACCAUCCAAUUUUAAUUUUGCUGUAAGUACUGCGUCAAUGAGAUUGCAUUCGCGGGUUUAGAGAGCAGGGUUUUGUGUCUGGCUUUAAAAAACAGAACAGCGACACAAUGUCACAGGUCACGCGUCAUCUCCACAAAUUAGACGAAACAACGCCCCUAAAUGUUCUAGGGCAGUUCCUCUUGUCCUGAUGAUCUAUCGUGUGGUUUUAUUGUAUGGUUGUUUCGUUGCUACACAUUGUGCCUUGGAUACUGACACGUCUGUGCAAUAAAUAAGAAGGCAACAAACGCUAUAACGACAACAAAAACAGCAACAACAACAACAACAACAACAACAGAAUCAGCAGUAGCAACACUAGCAACAACAACGAAAA